UUGGCGGACGGGUGAGUAACGCGUGGGGAACCGUAGCCCUCGUACAGGGGGAUAACACUUAGAAAUAGGUGCUAAUACCGCAUAAGCGCACAGUAUCGCAUGAUACAGUGUGAAAAACUCCGGUGGUACAGGAUGGACCCGCGUCUGAUUAGCUGGUUGGCGGGGUAACGGCCCACCAAGGCGACGAUCAGUAGCCGGCCUGAGAGGGUGAACGGCCACAUUGGGACUGAGACACGGCCCAAACUCCUACGGGAGGCAGCAG
rnacentral:rRNA from 1 species